UACAAGGAGUGGCUUUGAAGAAGCUGUUUCCUCUAGAUUGAUAAUCACCUGGGGUAACUGCUUUGGAAGAAGCUAGGUAGAAGAUCCUGAAAGAAAGAGGUGAGCUUUCUGUAGACAAAUGAAGCCUGGAGAUCAAUGAGGGGAGGCUAGAAAAUGAGGGAGUCUUCAUCCCCUGGGGGCUGAUAACGCAGUAUUUCAAGAGAGACUAGGACUCCUGGAACUGGAUUCUGAGAAAUAGACCCACAAGGACUGAAGGAAGAAAUUUGCCUCUAUUGAUUGCAGUCAGGUGAGGACCUCAGCCAGAAAACUUGUCUGGGACUGCUUGGGUUUUUAGUCAGGGAGGUAUGCAACAGAGUGGCCUGCUGCUUUAAGGACUGGGUGUCCUGCAGCUGAGGGCCCUAUUCAAUUAGUCCUGCCUGCUACAUGUGUAGGGUGUUAGGCUUAUGAGGGAAAUAGUUUCCCCCCUCCAAUGAUGGGCUGAGGAGAAAAGGUGAGUAAGCUGAGAGUAUUGAGGAAUUAGCUGUAGGCUGUCAUCUGUCUGAAGACCUGAUCUGGGUAGUGUUCCCCACCCUAAUGCUCGGGAGAAUGGAGUAGCUGGGGAGGAGUUGAUGAUUUUACCAACCCCCUGUCCCGUGCAAAAACAGGGGAGUCUGAUUGGGUUCAGGCUUCUCUUGCAUUGUCAUACUUGGGAGUUUCCUGUGCACCUGAGGAAAGCUUUGAGCGAAGCGAGCUUCGAGAAGAGCUGACCUGGAGAAGCAGCCAGGAAUGGACAAAGAGCUGUCUCUGGCUGCUUGGUCCCUGGGCUGGAGCUCCAGGGAAUGGGCAAGCUUAGGUUGCCCUACCACCCUUUGGUGUAGGGACCACCAAGAUAGGUGAGAGUGCAAGUGUGAUGCUGCUGGAGAACAAAGUCUCAAAUCAUUCCAGAGGAGCUCUGAGGAAAAGCAAAGGAUUGGGCAGCUGCAGCAGUAGGGCUCUCCUUGGAGGAGUUGUACCAGAAGGAAUGAAGCAGAUGGAAAAGGACAAAGAAAAAAAGACAAAAAACUUCAGACAUUCACUCUGACAAAAAACUGGACACCACAUAGCAGAGCCGGUACCCAGUACCUACUUGUUACAAGGACAUAUGAAAAGGCCACAGCAUUUCCCUAAAUCUUUUAAAUUUUUCUCGGCCUCCUUCAUGUCUUGGUUGAUAUGGUUCAUGCCUUCUUCAACACGAUCGAGUUGUUCUGGUCAGGACAAAGGGAUGACAGUGUGGAAUGAAUUGUAUUUUUGUUUGUUUGUGUUCAAAGAACAUGAAAAAUGAUCAUGUAAAACUGAAUUAAUAAUGAUCUUGCAAUGCAUUGAUUUGAGCUGAUGCAUUGCUGCUGGGAUGUGUGCCAGACUCUAGAUAGUGGAGAAAGAUGUCCUUUGCUAAUAUGAAUAGAGAGAGAGGAAAAAAAGUGAUGUUUGAAAUAUAUCAAUUUAAACAGGAUGUGAUGAUGUAGAAGGAAGUUUUAAACGUCAAGGUCCAGAAACAUAAUACAAUACAUCCACUUACUAAGACACCAGUGAUAUCCAAGAGAAAGAAAGAGAUACGGUUAUUAUCUUUCAUUUAUUCACAUUCACAUAACAGAGGGUCUCUGUCAAUGGAAAAUGCCUGAAUUACUCAUACUUAAAAAUGUAUUUGAAAUAGAUGGUGAUUGACAGUGUAACUAUUUCGAUUUGUGGGUGAUAGGGUGAGAGAAGAGACAGUAAUGGCAUUAGGGGUGGUAUGAGUUGUUAAGAUCCAUGUCCAGCUACAUAUUCUGAGCGUACUGAGGUCUGAUGUUUUUUAGUUCCUGUCCAAACCAAAAGUCAGGGAAUCUGUUGCAAAUCACCAGUAGCCCCAAUGAAUGCAGUGGAGAUGCAACAACCUAGGGAUCUACUCCAAGGCCCAGUGACAUUAAUGGAAAGAUUCCCAUGUCUUUGGUAGGCUUUGUAUCAGUCCCUCAGUGAGGUAAACGUAAAAAUGCUACACCAGCAUAACUCCUUAUACUUUACUGGAAUUGCUUCUGGUUUGCACCAAACCAUGGGAGUGAAGCACCUGGCGUAAAAACAGGCUUUGUACAGACGCUGUACUCAUCCAUUAAUACCAGUGGACUUGUGCUUGCUGACACUAGUGCUGACCUUCGUGGACUUUGUAGCUGCCGGUAAUUUAAUAUAUUGAUUUCUCCACGGAAGAUAAAGCUGAGAAAAACAGUACGGUGCAGCAGCCAGUUCCUUAGUUGUUGUAAAUAAGCAUAGGACCAAAAAGAUCCUGGCUUUUAACAUGAACUUCAUCAUUUUAUACCAGCUGGGGAUCUGGCCAGUAAUUUCAUUUAAAUAUGGAGUGCAGGAAGGAUUCUCGAAUGGAGCAAAAAUUCCUUUCGGUGAUGAUCUAACCUGUCAAGAAAAGCCGAUCCAAAAUAUAUGUAGCUAGGAACUGAUUAGCUAGAGUUUAAAAUGAUGAAAUUCACAUUUCCUGCAUUAGAUACAGGGGAAAAAAUGUAUGUACAUACCUAAGAAUUAGAACUGAGAGGAAAAGGACUUGAGAAUGCAGGGAUAUAACAUAGUUGCUGAAGUUAAAUGGGAUUCAUCAAGAUAAAACACAGUGUAUUUUAGAAACAACACUUGGGUUUGAGAUUUUCAAAGGUCAUCAAGGGAGUUGGAUUAUUAUUGAAUUUGCCAUUCAAUGAUUUGUCAUUCAAUGCUAUGUUGUUCAUUUUAAUUUUUCCAUCCAGCUUUGCCUUGAAAGUGAAAAUUAGUCAGUGGCCAGUCAGUGUCACUAACUGUAUGUUGUAAUUUUUUUGGUUCCCAUCCCCCUGGCUUGAUGGUCUUGUGUUAGAGUGUCCAAGGAUAACUAGAUUAUUUACAUAAAUCUGGAUAAAAAAUGUACAUUUUCAGAGCUAAAUUUACACAAAAUAUUCCUUAAAAAGAUAACACAUUCCACAGUUGGGAAAUUAUUCUGGUUUAAAGUUCAUGGUUCAGUUUAAAAAUUCCAGUGCAGAAUUUUUAGUUUUACUGGAAAUGAGAAAGUUGGACUUGCAAAAUCUAAACUGAGUUUUCAGAGAUAUCUGUUAGAAGAAUCUGGUUUUCACUUGUACGUUUUGAUGAGGAAAUGAGAGAGGGACAACACACCUUUGUGGUGUCAUUUUUAAAGUUACUAUUUUUUGGUUGUUGAAGAUAACUGAGUAUAUUUUCCUGAUGCUGUAACAUUGGUGGGAGACAGCGAGGCUUCAUCACAGAUUGUGUAUUAAUGACAAACUUGGGGUCUAAUCCUUCCUUCCUUACUCAGGCAAAAAUCUUCUGAAGCCAAAAGCAGAUGGGGGUGUUGAAAUGUCACUCCCAAUAGAGUCCUUUGGGCAUUACUGGGAACAAUAAUGCCCAGAUUCUGCAAGGGUUAAUUGAUGUGUGUAAUUUACUUAGCACAAGAACUUCUCUUCUCACCACAGCUGUCUUCAAAAUUUACUAUGUUUCAGUAUUCUGAAGUGUGAUGCUUUUGUGGUUUCAUUACAGCUUAUGCUAUUUCUGAAGAGGAAAGGGACCACAAGCAAUCUAUCUUCCAUUAAGAAAAGCCUCAUCAAUCGAAAAAGCCUAUGUCACAGAAGUAGCCUAGAAGUCUAGACAUCCGGCUGCUCCUUCUAAAACUGCUUGUUUAACAUAAAACUGAGGGGCCAGAUCCCUGGCUGGUUCAAACUGGCAUAGUUCCCUUGGCUUCAAUGGAGCAAUACCAGUUUACACCAGCUGAACAUCUGAUCCUGUAAGGCAAGAUAAACAGACAGAUUCCAGAUUCUAACUUUCAUGACAGUGGUAUAAAUGUGGAAUAACCUCAUGAACCUCACUGGGUCACUCUAGACAUAUAUUGAUAUAAGUGAGAUCAGAAUAGGAUGUAGGAUGUUUUAUUAAUGGUACAGAAACAGCUAAUAAAGGUUAAUUUCACAUGCAUUUUAACUGACUUUCUCUAAUCUAACAUUUUGCCGGUUUUAUUAAAUCACUUGGGAGCAGAUGCUGUGCUGGUAUAGACUGCCAUGUAUCUAUGACAUUUGACAUCACCUAAGAAUCUACCCCUUUAUCUGUUACUUGGUGAAAUGUUUCAUGAUAAGCUUUCAAACAGUUUUCAUUUGUUUGCUGCUGCCUCCUUUAAAUGUGUGUCAUUGUAAGAUAGGCAGCUUGGACCCUUUCACUCUGUAGGUAGAGUUUGCAUGUCAGGUAUGUGUUUUGUCAGAAUUUAUUUUGCUCUUCUCCAAGAUUCUCUGUUAAUAAUCAGUUCUUUGCCUUUCUAUACCAUUUCCUGUCCAAGGAGAUUCAAAUAGUGGCCAUGAAUCUGCUGUAGAUUUUUUUAUGUAACAGUUUAUUCCAGUAGACCAGCAGAGAAUGUGGACUAUUUGUCUGAUGCUAUCAGGUCAUCCACUUGUGGUGAGCACUUACCUCACCAGCAUAUGGACCAAAAGGACUCUCAACUCUGCAAGACAUGGGUCCAAGAUUAUCUGUUGGUCUAUCUCCAUCUCUGAGACAGAACAGUGGUAUAUCCAUAGAACUCAAUGCUUUCUGCACAGUGAGCAUAGAUUACCCAUUAUGCAUUCUGUAGGGGACUUCAGAGAAGGGGCCGGGAGGAGAAACCUCUAUGUUCCUAUGUUCUCUUGGAGGAUACUGGAGGGGGUAGGGAAACUUUUUUUCAUUUGUUUUUGCUCUGUUUGUUUCUAUUUCCUUUUUGUUUCCUUCCAGAGUUAGUGGAGAAGUUAAAUCAAAAAGGAUGUUUCCAUAACACAUGCAAAAAAGGAGACAUUGGGUUAGUUCAAUUACCAUUGCAAAUUAAUUCUGCUACUGAGUCCCUUUGACAGAGAAUGAUCUGCUUAAAACUCUUCCAGGAUUUUUCUUAUAUUGUCCUCAUAGAUUUUGAAGCCAGAUGGGACCAAACUGCAUUGUCCUGAAAGAGAGCAGCUGAUUGCAAAUAGAGAUGUACUGACCUGCAUGACAGGGUCCUGACUAGUGGGUGGUUUUGAACAUUGGACCAUAAAGGCUGGUCUUGGUAACAGAAAUGGAUUGAGAGCCAGUGGUGGUAUGGAGGUUAGAGAGACGCAUGCCUCUCAUUGAAGAGGGAUGAUGCUACUUCCUAUAAAGCUGGAGCCCUUUUGGGUUGUGUCCACAUUCAGCCUAAACUACAGAAAAUUACCAUAACCAAGUUUGAAGGUGAUGAACCUGAGAAGUGUUAUAGCCAGAGCUCCUCUGACAAAAAUGGGGUUCAAGCUCCUAGUGUGCAGAAGAGAAAGUAUUUCAACACUGGCAAUGCCUGGUCAUACAGAGUCAUACAGAGUCUAACAGGUGUCCAAGGCUUCACAUCACUGUGACGAAUGUGGUACAGGCCAGAAUUAAGCCACUGUCAAGACCAGUUCUACAAACCACUUCCUCUCCUGGGCAGCACAGCUGCAUCCUGCCAAGGGCUUCCUCUGAGAUGACUAUCCUGUAGUCAUUGUUGACAUCUCUUUGAUGGUGUUGGCUUCUUUUGUGGAAAUGAGAUGUGCAUCUGGAUAUUACUGGAGUCCUGCUGAUGAGAGCUCCUGACAUCUCACUCCAUCAAGUGGUCUCAUGCAAGCACUGAAUGGAAGAAGAGUUGGGAUGGACAAAGGAGAUCCCAAUGCAGCUUGUCAGUAUAGUAUACCAUACCAUUACUUGGUGGAAAACAUCCUGAAGGAUAGCAGGACUGAAACAGCCCCACCUGCAAAUAAUUCCCAGACAUGAUGCCUGUAGAUGAGAGAGGACAUUUCCCUCCCCAGUGGCGAUGAGGCACAGAAGCUUUCAGCUCUUUACCAUCCCUAUGGGCUGAUGGGGAAAGCCAAAUCCAAUUUCUUGGCCUCACCACCUACUUUAAGCUUAAGCUGUGAGGACUCUUCUCAGAGGAGUCAAUCAAGCAAGACUACAGCAGAAUAUUGACACCUUGGUAAUAAAUAAUGGUUACUGGCAAGGGGUCUCCUCUAAGUGCUCAGGAAGUAGCUGCACUGCUUCAUCAACAUCUAUUUACUUAAUAGCAUGAUGCCCCUGUAUUGCAGACAAGGAUGGCUGUCUCCAUUUGGCGAACACGUUGGAAGAUUCAGUUACAAGCUCAAGGAUGUGCUGGAACUCUAGGAAUGCCAGGGAACCAGAACCCAGUUCCACGUCUCUUAUUUUUGUGUUUUUGCCAAAAGUAUCCUUCCUCCAUAAAGCUAACACAGAACUCGGUCUUCCAGCAUUAAAUAUCCUGAGCCAAAUAUUCCAUGCAUACUGCUUCUCUUGUAACAGCCAGCUCCUGCUUCUGUCUGGAAACUGGGGUGGAUGUCUGUGCUGCCUACCAGGCUGUUGGCUGCCCAGUCCACACACUCCCUGUGCUGAAUGCCCUGAGGCAGUCUGGCAGCGUGUGCAGCGCAUUGGCUCAGCUGCGCGACUGAGUUUCUAACACACUCGGGGACUGCUCAGCUGUCAGAGCCUGUCCUGCUCCUCUCUGUGCUCAGGCCAGUUGCAAGCAAUGUGAGUGCCUACACUCCUGUUUCUGGCCCACCCUGCCUACUGAACUGUACCCAGCAGAUGGCUGGUUUAAAAAAAAAUGUCCACCUGCUUCUCUCACCUCCCUUUCAGUGAAUUCAAAAGGAGAGUGAGGGUGGAGAAAGGAGAAGCCAGCCACAUUCUUCUUCCCCAGGCUCCCCUGAGCCCUACAGCUGUUCAUUUCUGGUCCUUUGGCAGGCAGCAUCUGAUUGCUCAGAGGGGUACUCUGGCUUCUCCUCCCUCCUUCCUUGACCUCUGGCUCAUUGACGCAGUCUGUACUCUUAGACAUAGUUCCCUUCCAAAUGCAGGCCCCUGAGGACCUGCAAUUCUGUUUGUGAUCUGACAAGUAUUGUCAGUUUUCAUCAAACCUGUUAGGCUUAGAAUAAGCCAGAUACAGUUAAAUACCAAAUACAGACAUCAGUGUCUGACCCUAUGGUCUUUGCUCAGGUACAACCUCCAUUCAUAGAGCUUUGCUGGGAGGAAGACUGCACCACUGACCCAUAGACUUUACAAAUGGUGCUAAAUCCUUUUGUGCAAAUCUUUGCACUGAGCAACAUGGGUGCAGCUGUCUUCUACCUACCUGGCCAGGUAUGCUGUUGUGCUUUAUCAAGCCAUACUGUAUUUGUUAUCAAGGAAGGUUGGUGUAUGUGCCCACAGUGAUAAUACAUUGGCAAAACUCCAAAAAUUUAAUUGACAGUGGAGUGAAUAGAUAUAUUCUGCAAAAAGCCUGCUGAAGCUCAUAUCAAGAAGUCUGCUGAUGUGAACAGUAGUUGGAUCUGGCACCAAGUGAUAAUCUUUCUCUUUUUUAAUAUUCUUUGAUUUUUUUUUUUCCUAGCUACUUUCACUGAAAUUUGGGCUAAGGCCAGAUUUUCAAAAGAUUCUUGCUCCCAUUUAGGCACCUAAAAUGAUGCAGACUUUCACACAUGCUCAGGACCCAGGAGCUCCUAUUAUGGCCUUGGGAAAGAGCAGGAUUUGCCACAUGAACAGAAUGUAUUCUCAGCAAGUAGGCUGAAAUUCACUGAUGUGGUUGUAAAACUGUGGUGAGGCCAGGAAAUGACCUUUAAUGUGUAGCUUCUGCCAUGGAUGUAUUUACAAAGAUGUAGGAUCUGCAAUCCACUGUCUCUUAUGAAAUUGA